rnacentral:rRNA from 1 species
GAUCAUGGCUCAGGAUGAACGCUGGCGGCGUGCUUAACACAUGCAAGUCGAACGGAGUUUACUUAACAGAUUCCUUCGGGAUGACGUUUUUUAAACUUAGUGGCGGACGGGUGAGUAACGCGUGGGUAACCUGCCUUACACAGGGGGAGUAGCAGUUGGAAACGACUGGUAAUACCGCAUACCUUACAUUAUUCGCAUGUUUGAUGUAAGAAAGAUUUUAUCGGUGUAAGAUGGACCCGCGUCUGAUUAGCUAGUUGGG